rnacentral:tRNA from 5 species
GUCCGGGUGGCGGAAUGGUAGACGCGCUAGCUUGAGGUGCUAGUGCCCUGUAAGGGGCGUGGGGGUUCAAGUCCCCCCUCGGACA